rnacentral:rRNA from 2 species
ACGCUGGCGGCGUGCUUAACACAUGCAAGUCGAACGAUGAAGCCGCUUCGGUGGUGGAUUAGUGGCGAACGGGUGAGUAACACGUGGGCAAUCUGCCCUUCACUCUGGGACAAGCCCUGGAAACGGGGUCUAAUACCGGAUAAUACUCUGUUCCGCAUGGAACGGGGUUGAAAGCUCCGGCGGUGAAGGAUGAGCCCGCGGCCUAUCAGCUUGUUGGUGGGGUAAUGGCCUACCAAGGCGACGACGGGUAGCCGGCCUGAGAGGGCGACCGGCCACACUGGGACUGAGACACGGCCCAGACUCCUACGGGAGGCAGCAGUGGGGAAUAUUGCACAAUGGGCGAAAGCCUGAUGCAGCGACGCCGCGUGAGGGAUGACGGCCUUCGGGUUGUAAACCUCUUUCAGCAGGGAAGAAGCGCA